rnacentral:piRNA from 1 species
CAUGCUAACCUCAGCAGCCACUUCCGGGUUC